CCACAGCGAGCUGCAGGCCCUGCAGCGGGAGAACAGCGAGCUGCGCAAGCGCCUGGAGGCCUCCCCCGGCUGGCGCCCGGGCGGCAGCAGGACCGGCACGCCCCGGCCCGUGGGCAUCACCUCCCCGGCGCAGACCGGUAGGAUCCACCCCACGUGGGAUCUGCCCCACAUCCCCCUCGUGCGAGGGGCUCUGCCCCCCUCGUGCGAGCGGCCCCCGCCCCGCUCCUUCCCCCCCCCA